rnacentral:lncRNA from 1 species
UCAAGGAUUAACAGAGUCUGUUUCUUACAUCCUCAUUUUGCAGAUAUUUCUAAAAGCCAAGCUGAGAACUAAUGUCAUGGUGCUGGCUGCAGCCAUUGUGCUAUGGAUUGAAAUGACCUCUGGAAACCCACUCAGAAUGUCUUGGCCAGUCAAGGUUUACAAUGAAAAAAUUGAAGAGAACACACUAUGAAUCUGCCUCUGUUACUUCGCAAAAGCAGCACGGUCUCUACCCUGUGUACAAAGAACAUCCGUCAAAAUGAAUGCAAUGGCCUGACAGGGAGA